GUUAAUUUUGAUUUUAAAAGAUAUUGCCAUGUAUAUGUAUGUAAUAAUGAUGAGUAAUCAUUUCAGUUUAACUUUACAAAGACUGAUUUUAGAUUGGCACAGAGAUAAAGUAUGUAUUGAUAGUUAUAGAAUGUAUAAGCAAUUAAUUGCAUAGAUGAAAAAAUUCAAAUGGUUUAAAGAAAGCUUAACUUAGAUUGUUUAGAUAGAAUGGUAUAUUUUGAUCAUAUUUGUCUUACUUAACACAUUCAGUAAUUACACAUAGCUCAAGAUGAAUGUGUAUGAAUCGACAGGAACAGCAUUGUAAAGUACCUCAUUGUUGUAUCCUUUAGACCCAUGAAAAGGGCUGUCGCUUACAUCAUUUUAUUUUAUGCUAACUUGCUUCAAAAUUAUCAUGUUUAUGUGGAUAUAAGCUUGGAUGCCAACAUAAUUGUUUCUGCCCGAUUGACGUGUUUUAAUCGCUAAUGUGAGCCUCUGAUUCACGUAAUCGCUUUUGGCCUUUUAUAAUAAAGUGCUGGUUGUUGCAUGAUUGUUUUAUUCUAUAGUAAAUAUCUCUUAAACACAUACAGAAUAUCUAGUACAUUUUAGACAGUUACAUUAUUUCCAUAGCAUUUGACACAACAGUUUACUGGGUGACGAUUCAGUUUAACUAUUUGUUUAAUUUUGUUAUUAAAUUUUUCAGCACUUGUUUUCAGUGAUGGUGAUGAUAUGAGAUAAUAUAUACGAGUGUUAUAACUGAUAUUGGAGAUGAUAUGGCCAGCAUUUCUAGUGUUCAAUUGAUAAAGGAAUUGGAAUGUGUUCCGUGUGCAAUAUAUAUGGAUGAAUAUACUGUUUGUAUAUAAUGGAGAUUCAUACCAGCCUUGUUUUUAAACUUCAUGGCUUCAGUUUUUUUAAGGAGGGAGGAAUGUAACGGCGACCCUAUGUUUUAGAACAGUAUUAUGUCCCUUUAAAAUGGACUGUUGUAAAAUUAACAUUUAAUUACUAUUGUUAAUAUGAAUUAUUGAUAAAAAUUGUUGUUUAACAUGUUUAUAUAUUUAGUUACAUUAUGGUGCUAUAAUU
rnacentral:lncRNA from 1 species